AUGCUGCCGCUCGCCCGCCGCCUGGCGCGCUACGGUCCGGGCGCCCGCCGCCUGCUCCACACGGGCCCGCCGGCGGACCCGGGCGUGCUGGCGAGCCGCCUGGCGUCGCGCGCCGUGGUCCGCUUCCGGGGCCCCGAGGCGGCGCGCUUCCUCAACUCGCUCCUCACCAACGACGUCCUCCUCUCCCACGCCUCGUCGUCCCAGCCGCAGAGGUACGCGCCCACGCCCAACCUGCCCGCGCGGGCGCCGCCGCCGCAGUACGCCGCGCUGCUCACGCCGCAGGGCCGGUUCCUCUACGACCUCUUCCUCUACCGCCCCGCCCCGCGCUCCCAGAUGCUCGACCGCACCGGGGCCGCGCCCCAGACCGGGGAGCGGCCCGGCGGGGAGGAUGGGGAGGGUGAUGGCGGGGAGGUGCUCGCGGAUGUGGACGCCGCCGAGGUCGACGAGCUGCUCGCCUGCUUCAAGAGAUAUCGGCUGCGGAGCAAGGUUGAGAUAGAUAAUGUAAGUGAGGAGUUUUUGUGCUGGCAAAGAUUUGGAAACGAUGUGGCACAUGCUGGACCUUCCACUCAAGAACCCGAGGCUCAAUCCAUUGGAUGGGGACAAGGUAGUGACCAUGCUGCUGAGUCAUCUGCACAAGGGAACGGUCAUGGUUGGCAGUGGCUCAAAGAUCCUCGGCUUGACAUUCUUGGCUACAGAGGAAUAUUUCCAGCUGAUACAAUACCACCACUUGUUGAGGCUGACAAAGAAGCAGAUGAACGCCAUUAUUUGCUUUGGCGUAUAGAAAAUGGGGUUGCAGAAGGCUCAACUGAAAUACCAAAAGGUGAAGCAAUUCCGCUCGAGUACAAUCUUGCAGGCCUGAAUGCUAUUUCAUUUGACAAGGGGUGCUAUAUUGGUCAGGAGCUGAUCGCGCGCACACACCACCGUGGUGUCAUCAGGAAGCGCCUGAUACCCUUGAAGUUUGUAGAUGAAAAUGACAAAGAACUCGAGCAGGCUGUUGCUCCUGGCUCAGAUGUCGUGGACGACGCCUCUGGAAAGAAAGUGGGUACGGUAAGCACCGCUCUCGGCAGCCGUGGGAUGGGUCUGUUGCGGCUCGAAGCAACACUGAAGGAAAACGCUGUCCUUGCCAUCAGCGACAACAGAGAUGUGAGGGUCAAGGCGAUUAAGCCAGACUGGUGGCCAGCUGAGUGGACAGAGGUCUUAGGACAGCAGAGCGCAGUCGCUUGA
rnacentral:rRNA from 1 species